rnacentral:rRNA from 1 species
AACGAACGCUGGCGGCAGGCUUAACACAUGCAAGUCGAGCGCCCCGCAUGGGGAGCGGCAGACGGGUGAGUAACGCGUGGGAAUCUACCCAUCUCUACGGAAUAACGCAUGGAAACGUGUGCUAAUACCGUAUACGUCCUUCGGGAGAAAGAUUUAUCGGAGAUGGAUGAGCCCGCGUUGGAUUAGCUAGUUGGUGGGGUAAAGGCCUACCAAGGCGACGAUCCAUAGCUGGCCUGAGAGGAUGAUCAGCCACACUGGGACUGAGACACGGCCCAGACUCCUACGGGAGGCAGCAGUGGGGAAUAUUGGACAAUGGGCGCAAGCCUGAUCCAGCCAUGCCGCGUGAGUGAUGAAGGCCCUAGGGUUGUAAAGCUCUUUCACCGGUGAAGAUAACGACGGUAACCGGAGAAGAAGCCCCGGCUAACUUCGUGCCAGCAGCCGCCGCCGUAA